CAAAAUUCCCUGUGGAACUGCAGGCACGUUUCCCAGUGCUUGCUUCCCCUCACUUAUGCCAUCAGCUUUUCUCUCUGGCUGAGUUGUACCUGGAGAGGGUGAUGGACAGGCAGGCUCAGACUCCAGACAGGAAACCUGAGUGCUGGAUUUAUGGCUGCAGCUGUCACUCCUCUGCAAACAGGCAGGAAAAUGAAGGUUAACAAGUUUGG